rnacentral:lncRNA from 10 species
GAUAUCUAGUUAAAUAAGUCAUUAUAAAUAGUUGCUCCGUGGGCUUUCCGCAUUUCACCCUGCUCCAGGCAGCGUGGUCUGUAUGGCUCCGCCCUGGGCAGGAGGAGAAAGAAGAGGGCCAGGCACCACGUGCCUGCACUCUCCCUGGAUGCUGGAGGCUGCUCCGCCGUGGGCAGGAGGAGAAGGAAGAGAACUGGGUGCCGCCUGCCUGCACUCUCUCCGGAUGCUGGAGGCUGGAGGCAGUGAGGCAGCAACAGCGCGAGGGCGAGGCGACUUUGGAGCUGCCUCAUGCAGCGACCUCGCCUUCCGCUGCGCCUCCUCCCAGAACCCAAGAAGCCUGGAACCUGUGGCGUCCAGCCCUGAAAGGAGGAGACGGCAACCCAGCCGCGCUUUUGCCUGCACUCUCCCUGGAUGCUGGAGGCUGGAGGCAGUGACGCAGCAACAGCGCGAGGCGACUUUGGAGCGGCCUCAUAUAGCGACCUCGCCUUCCGCUGCGCGUCCUCCCAGAGCCCAAGAAGCCCGGAACCUGUGGCAUCCAUCUCUGAAAGGAGAAGACGGCAACCCAGCCGAGGCACUACUGGGUUGGGGUCUCCACGACCGAGCUGGUCUCAUCAAGUGGCGUCCAACAAGGGGCUCAAACCCGGGUUGAGGGGUUGCUGGAGCGACGGAGAACGUGGAACUACACUGGAGGACACCAGAGUACUCUUAAGCAAUCCCUUGGCCAAAACCAGCAACUGAUUUGGAUACCAUCAAGACACCUGAAAUCUUGUCAUGAGCCAGAUACUGAGGAAGAGAUUUUGGGAAGAACCCAAGGACCCCCCAGUUGCAGCCAUGUCAAGACUGACAAUAAGGAAGACAUCAGUCCCAGCAAGCAACAUUCAUCGGGCACAGCCACCCAUGUGGGGCCAGAUCAAGAAGUUGACACAGAUGGCGGAAGAAAAUCUGAAGAAAGCGGAUGACCAGCUACAAUGAGUAAUCUAAUGUCUGCAGAUGUGGAUCCCGAAUCCUGCGAGAAGUAGCCCACCAUGACGAAGCUGCCUUUGCUUUUAUCGCUUUGCAAAAACAGAAAAGGGGACAUGCUGGGAACAGGCCCUAAGCCUGUCAUAAACAGGCCUUAAACUGACCAUGAACAGGAUUUCUGCACGAAUGUGACGUGCUCCUGAUGGCUAUGACGCCCACUGCUAGAAGUUGUUAGUUUACUGGAGCAGGGUAGGGAACACCUGGCCCACCCGGAGCGGAAAACUGCUCAAACCACAAACAACAGCAUGAGUGGCCUGAGCCUUAACAACAUGUUUUUGCUGCAGAUAAUCGGCCAGAGACUGUUUCUCUACUCCUCUCUAAGUAUGCUUUGUUUUUCGUAAGGAAUGCUUUUAGCUAAUCUGUAACCUAUAGAAACAAUGCUUAUCACUGGCUUGCUGUCAAUAAACAUGUGGGUCAAACUCUGUUUGUGGCUCUCAGCUCUCAAGGCUGUUUUCCCCCUGAUUCCCACUUUGCACUUUAUUUCUGUGUGUUUGUCUUCAUUCCUCUAGCACCACUGGGUUGGGGUCUCCUUGACCAAGCUGGUCUCGGCACAUAUGCAUGUAUGCCCAGGUCCUGAAAUCAGCCUUGUGGAGCCUGUGGGUAGGAAAAGUCAACCCUCUGUGCAUGUAGGCCUGGAACCUGACCAAUACUGUAUUUUCCUACCACGUUUGGUUUCAAAUGUGGAAACUGCCCAUACGGACCUACUGCAUUUGUUUUUAAAAAUCCUCUGUAAGUGGACCUGCACAGUUCAGGCCCAGAUUGUUCCAGGAUCAACCCUACAGUAGAAAUCAAGUAUCUUUUUCAUUGUCUCUUGGGAUCUGCCUUUUCACCAAUAAAAUAUGAGGGCUGUUGGGAGCAGGCCCCCCCAAAUCUGGCCAUAAACUGUCCCCAAAACUGGCCAUAAACAAAAUCUCUGCAGCACUAUAACAUGUUCAUAAUGGCCAUAACGCCCAAGUUGGAAGGUUGUGGAUUUACAGGAAUGAGGGCAAGGAACACCUGGCCUGCCCAGGGUGGAAAACCACUUAAAGGCAUUCUUAAGCCACAAACAAUAGCAUGAGUGAUCUGUGCCUUAAGAACAUGCUCCUGCUGCAGUUAACUAGCCCAACAUAUUCCUUUAAUUCAGUCCAUCCCUUCGUUUCCCAUAAGGGAUACUUUUAGUUAAUUUAAUAUCUAUAGAAAGAAUGCUAAUGACUGGUUUGCUGUUAAUAAAUACGUGGGUAAAUCUCUGUUUGGGGCUCUCAACUCUGAAGGCUGUGAGACCCCUGAUUUCCCACUUGACACCUCUA